GGUUUCCGUGGCUAACUUCACCGAAACCCAAUCCUAAUGUAGCUGUGGGAGCUCUUGUGGGGCCUUUCCUUAAGUAACAUUCAUAGAUUCCCGGAACAACUCGAUGCAAGCUGAGCCAACCACGUAUAACACUGCACUCAUUGUUGGCCUCCUCUCCUAUUUGGUCACCACGUCUUCUGCAGUUAGAUCCUUCACUUAAAAAGUGGCCGUAGAUUGUAAUCAUUAUUACAUAUUUGAUUUUCUCAAAUUUGUAGCAUAUCAACUA